AACGCUGGCGGCAGGCCUAACACAUGCAAGUCGAACGGUAACAGGAAGAAGCUUGCUUCUUUGCUGACGAGUGGCGGACGGGUGAGUAAUGUCUGGGAAACUGCCUGAUGGAGGGGGAUAACUACUGGAAACGGUAGCUAAUACCGCAUAACGUCGCAAGACCAAAGAGGGGGACCUUCGGGCCUCUUGCCAUCGGAUGUGCCCAGAUGGGAUUAGCUAGUAGGUGGGGUAACGGCUCACCUAGGCGACGAUCCCUAGCUGGUCUGAGAGGAUGACCAGCCACACUGGAACUGAGACACGGUCCAGACUCCUACGGGAGGCAGCAGUGGGGAAUAUUGCACAAUGGGCGCAAGCCUGAUGCAGCCAUGCCGCGUGUAUGAAGAAGGCCUUCGGGUUGUAAAGUACUUUCAGCGGGGAGGAA
rnacentral:rRNA from 1 species